rnacentral:lncRNA from 1 species
CUACAUCCUCCAACUUUAAUCCCAAGAUAUUUGAAAGGUAAAGUACCAACUCUACAAUUCAACACCCUCGCCAUUCUCUCCAGCUUGCCAGCAUCAACCCCAAUACCUAUCAGACUGCAUUUAUGAAAAUUGACCGAGAGUCCCGAAAGAAGGUGAAAAAGUUUCAGUAAAAACUUUACCACCUCUGCAUUCUCUUCGUUGUCAUCCAAAAGGAAAAUAGUAUCGUCCGCAUAUUGGAGAUGCGUGAUCUGUACUUUUUCUUUACCUAUCUCAGCAGGCAACAAAA